rnacentral:misc_RNA from 1 species
UUUCCGUAGGCGAAUCUGCGGAAGGAUCAUUCAUAAUAAGUGUUUUAUGGCACUUUUUUAAAUCCAUAUCCACCUUGUGUGCAAUGUCAGGGUUGAUUUUUCUCUCGAGAGGAUCAACCCCAAACAUCAACUAUAUCUCAACUCUUUGUCUGAAAAAUAUUAUGAAUAAAACAAUUCAAAAUACAACUUUCAACAACGGAUCUCUUGGCUCUC